GGCGCAGGCGGGGCCGCGUCGAAAUCCCAGUUCCUUUUGGUCCCAGGCGCGUCGCCAUCUUGCAAGGGCGGAGCCCACCGGCCUCCUUUGUGGAGGCGGAGUUCUGACGUAAGGGGUCACGCUCCGAGCCAAGGCGGGAAAACUCGAGAUUCUCUGCGCGCUUUUCUGCUGGAAGCACUUUCCUUGAGCACUGCCCGGCGCCCCAGCUGCGACUUGGAGCUCAGCAUAAUGAAUGAAUGGACCAGCAGGUCAUAGCCACCUUUGUCUCUCCAGAUUCGGUCCCGAUGUCGCCCAACUGUCUACUCACGACUCCCUUUCCUUAUGGUGGAUUUUGCACCUGACCAGAGAGAGGCCCUAGGAACUCAAUGAUCAAUGAGGCUCCAGACCCCACUUCUCACCAAGUACACCAAGCAGAGUCAACAGCCCAGAGUCUCCCACUGUUUCAACUGUUCUUCCACGUCCUCCACCUUGGGAACCAGACAGGAACCCAGACAGCCAGGAUCCUCCUAAACCCCCUCAUCUUCACAAUUACCAAAACCCAGCUGGUGAGUGGGUCCAGCCUACCCACCUGUCCUUAGACCCACCUCUCCACCCAGCUCCGCCCAA